UACGUAGGGGGCGAGCGUUGUCCGAAGUUACUGGGCGUAAAGCGCGCGUAGGCGGUCUAUUAAGUGGCCGGUGAAAUCGCCGGGCUCAACUCGGCGUAGUCUGGUCAUACUGGUAGACUGGAGUGUGGGAGAGGAGAGCGGAACUCCAGGUGUAGCGGUGAUAUGCGUAGAGAUCUGGAAGAACACCCGUGGCGAAGGCGGCUCUCUGGACCACAACUGACGCUGAGGUGCGAAAGCCAGGGGAG
rnacentral:rRNA from 1 species